ensembl:lncRNA
GUAAGCAUGAGAUGGGAAGAGUAUCCCAGACAAGAAGCCAUCAUAAAGCAAGAACUAGCAUGGCGCAUUGGAAGAUCAGAAAUUGACCCUGCAUCUUAACGGAACUUUACAAUCAGAGUUAUGUUUACUUCAUCCUUCAAGUGUUCUUCACAAUUCUUCCGUUAUUUAAUUUCUUAAAAAUAGGACUUGCAAGUUAAAGAAAAUCAUGCCAUCUUUCCACUCAGAUAGGAAAGGAGGUGGUAGAUAAGUAAUGUUAAAUGAUACAUGUCAGGUAUCCCUCUCAGCACUUAUAGAUACUAUGGGUACAUGCCCUAGCUCUUCUUUUGUGAGCAAACCAUUUGUACCCACUUAAAUAUAGGUUUGCUAUUUUGUUGUGGAUUACUUCAAAUAUCUAAUGAAAAUCAUCUGACUUGGAGGCCAAAACAAAGCUGAUCUGAGAGCGUGUGUUGGAGCAGAAUAAUAAUGUACUGUUCAGAAUUCAGUCAAAGCUUCCUCAUGUCCUUCUGCACAUCACAUGCAGGAUACAGGAACUGGGAGACAGCUGACUAAGCAUGAAAAGAUCACUUUUAGAGUCUCCAUUACCGCCUCUCCCUCCAGCCCCAAGCACUGUAGAAGCACAGACGAGAGAGGAGAGUUAUGGAUUGAGAGAACAAGGAGCAUGAGGCUACACUGCUACAGGCAGCCAUCUCUGAAUUGAGAAGGAAGCCGGCCUUAAAGCUCAGCUGGCAGAAGGAGGAAAAGCAGCAGGAAUUACAGAAACGUGGAGUCAUGUCCUGAUCAUAUUUGAAGCUCACUCCCUCUGCUUUCUGCAUUUUCAACCGUGUGCUGUGAUACAAUUUCCUUCCCUGAUGGUCCCAGUGCUGCCCCAUUCCUCACUUCAUGCCACUCAAUCAAGACCAUUCCUUAUGUGAAGAUCAAAUGGAUUUUCUUUUUUAAAGAAAACUGUUCAGAUGGUUAAAACCAUGCUGAAUUUUAGAUUCAUAUUCAUCAGAUUCAUAGUUUUCUUCUAUAGCAUUUUCCUCCCCUGGAGUUUCUGAUUGCUUUGCCUUUCCACUCAUGAGAUAAAACAUAGACUUUUCCCAUCCUAUUCCUAAUAAUGCAAUUUCCGGUUUAUUUUGUAUUUUUGUAAAAUCCUUUUCUUCUUCCUGAAGAUAUUUUAGUUGGAGCCUACUGAUUUACUGAUCUCAUGCCCUGGUCAACUCGCCAAAUAUUCAAAUUAUUGAAUAGCCGAUAUUCAGGGAAUUUUGUUCCUUCUCUUAAGGCUUAAUAUUUGUUCUUGUCUUGCCCAUCUUGGCCUUGCUUUCACUCUUAACAUUUUAUAAAGGAAUAAAUAAAUGGACUUUCCCAUUAACACUAUUUACUGGCCUUUCUAUUUGUGUGAACUUAUGUCCUGCCCCUUUCAGACCAAGGCAUCAGAGGGGAAGAACGUAAGUCAGCAAAAACACCCCCAGUGAAUUGUAUUUAAGGGAGAUUACACCCAAUCAAGUAAAGAGUCAGUGGUUGGAGCACAUUAAAAGUUUCAAAGAAAUUCUCAGUUGUUCGGCAAAUUAUCCCUCUGGUGAUUUUGUCUGCUUCUACUUUCAGCCCACUUUCUUGGGAUUUCUCUUCAUGGGGCCUGUGGGUUAUCUCGUUUGCUUCUUGGUGUCAUUUCUUAUUUUUGGUGCUCAUAUUUAUUUUCCUGGAGUUCAACAACUCUAAGUAUCUUCUUCAAAAAGGGUUCCAGAGAAGCGACAUUUUAAGAUGUUGUCUUUCUGAAAAGAACUUUAUUUUGCCCUCACAAUCAAUGUAAAAAUUGGCCAGGUUUAGAAUUUUAGGUUCUAAAUCAUUUUUACCUCCAAAGUUUGAGGCAUGGAAUCCACCUUUUAUUAUAUACUGAUUCUGAUUUUUAAAAAAUCUGAUGGCAAUCUGAUUUACAUUUCUAGAGAUCCCAUUCUUCAAGAAUUCCUUUGCUGUCAUAUCUGCCAACUUCUUUAUUCUGGCUCCUUUCACUCUUAGCAGUUGCUAAUAUGAGUUUAGGGGGGAAAAGGAGACAAAUGCUGACAUUUUGAAAUACCAGCUUCUCCUGAUUUUCCAUAAUUAAGUCAUGUCCUUUGGUUUACGUAGUGUAUAAUAGUAUAUAAAUGUCUACAUCAAAUAAUAGAUUAUGUGACAUUGGAGGGAAAAUUAGGUAGCUUUGGAUCAAUCCAAUUGGAUCAAUUUUAAGGUAGGUUGUCUUCAGAGAAAAACUGAAGCAAAAAGGAACUGAGAAAUGAAAGAAGAGUUAACCUUUGCGUUAGCAAAGACACUAAGGAGAAGUAAGUUGAAGUGAAGCCAAGUCAAGCAGUAAUCUUGUGGUGCUUCUGUUCUGAUCAAUAUUUAUGUCAGUCCCUGGCUGAACAUUAAUUGCAUUGGUCCUUGAGGGAAAUAUACAUAGAACUGGAAAGAAGUGAAUUUUGAAUAUAAGUUAUUUUUUAUUUUAUAAAUUGCUCCAUCCAGAUAAUUUUCCUGAUCUGAGC